rnacentral:rRNA from 1 species
GACAGAGGGUGCAAACGUUGUUCGGAAUCACUGGGCAUAAAGGGCACGUAGGCGGCCCAUCAAGUCGCGUGUGAAAUCCCCCGGCUCAACCGGGGAACUGCACGCGAUACUGGUGGGCUAGAGGCCGGUUGGGGUGAGUGGAACUCCAGGUGGAGCGGUGAAAUGCGUAGAUAUCUGGAGGAACACCGGUGGCGAAAGCGACUCACUGGACCGGUCCUGACGCUGAGGUGCGAAAGCUAGGGUAGCAAAC